GAGCACAGGCACCUUCCAGGAGCUGUGCAGGGUGACGGGGGCACCCCUGAGUGCCCUUUUCUCCAGGCUGAGCACCCCCAGCUCACCUUGGCGGGGUUGAGGGCGGUGAUGACCCACACGCAGUAGGCGUUGUUGUCGUACUGCACGGGGUAGUUGGGCGACGUGAUGACCCCGCUGGGCCCGCGCAGAUCAACCCCCCAAAACACUGCACAGCCAGGAUUUAUUAGGUCAUUAUUAAGUAUUUAUCAGCUGGUUUCCUUCUGUGGGCUCAGAACUAAGGUGGAAACUCAGCUCUGCAUCUUCAAAACAUCUCAGGUUUUAUUCCAGCCUUUCCUCUAACAGGAGAAGGAGGAGAGGGGAGAAAACACCUGGAAUAGGGAAAGGGAUGAUCCUGCUCAGGUGAUGCUCUUGGAGCCCUGCAGGUCGUAGCCCUCGUUGCAGGAGAACUGGAUGCUGGAGCCCAGCCUGGAGAGGGGACACAGGGGACAUCAGCCUGGUCCUGCCUCGUGCAGCCAGGAUUUGGGGCCAGAGCCAUCCCCUGGCCCUGCAGGCAGCAGGAAGGGAGGAGGGACCAGCUCUGCCUCCCCUCUGCUGGUUUUGCCCCAUUGCUGAUGUCCAAAUCCCAGUUUUAGUGACAUUUCAUCCACAGCCCUGGGAGAGGACAUGCUCAGCGUUCUCAUAAAGUGAAAUAAAAAUCUUUAUCAGCUGCUGAGA